UACGGAGGGGGCGAGCGUUAUUCGGAAUUAUUGGGCGUAAAGGGCUCGUAGGCGGCCAACUAAGUCAGACGUGAAAUCCCUCGGCUUAACCGGGGAACUGCAUCUGAUACUGGAUGGCUUGAGUUCGGGAGAGGGAUGCGGAAUUCCAGGUAUAGCGGUGAAAUGCGUAGAUAUCUGGAGGAACACCGGUGGCGAAGGCGGCAUCCUGGACCGACACUGACGCUGAGGAGCGAAAGCCAGGGGAGCAAACGGG
rnacentral:rRNA from 1 species